rnacentral:misc_RNA from 1 species
GUGAAUCAUCGAAUUUUUGAACGCAAAUUGCACUCCCUGGUAUUCCGGGGAGUAUGCCUGUUUGAGGGUCGUUAGAACAAAAAUCGAAGCGUCGCUCUUUUUUUUUAAGGGUGAUCGCGUCGGAAUUGAGCCGUCUUUCAAAUGUUAAUUCAUGUCAAAGUGGCUUGAAAUUCAUCCAUCCGGUACGAUUAAAGCGUAUUUAAGAUCAACUUUGAUUAAGAACGCGCGAUGAACGUACCAUCUCAUGUAGUACGUUUGACUUGACGUCGUCAGGAUCACUCGUAUACGAUACUCAAACUUU